rnacentral:sRNA from 1 species
UCACAUAAUUUGUAUGCAGUGUGAAGGAGCAGAAGGCAUCUUCUCACUGUGCUGCAAAUCUUUAUAGCCUUUACAAUACGGACUUCUGUGUAUAUGUUAUACUGAUUCUACUCUGCUUUUAUCCUUUGGAGCCUGGGAGACUCCCCAAAAAGAUUGAAGUUUAUUAAUUGCUGAGAAGGAAAUAAAGGUGUGGUGGAAAGGUCUUCCAGAACCAGAGGCUAAGCACACAGCAGUACAAAUAUAAAUUCUUUAUUCCAGCUUCCAGAAUUCCUCCUCUUCAGCCUUGCCUGCUCACUGGAAUAAUGAAGCAAUUAAACAGUGGUGUAAAGAAGUUCCAUCGAGUGGUUGAAGUUCAAUAGAAAACAAGGAAAUAGGCUGAUGUAUAUCAAAUACACCAUCGGCACUCUGAGUCCUUCCCAGGUUCACUAAAGGGGGAGGAGGGGACACCGUUUUAGAUUUAAUUUGUACUGUACCUGAUAUGAUUGUGAUAAUUUUCCAAUGAAUAAUUGUUAAUCUUACCUAAUUAAAAUAAUUAUAUGUUAAAUAAAAUAUGCAGAUGUUAAAUUG